rnacentral:rRNA from 1 species
CCUACGGGAGGCAGCAGUAGGGAAUAUUGCUCAAUGGGGGAAACCCUGAAGCAGCAAAGCCGCGUGGAGGAUGAAGGUUUUCGGAUUGUAAACUCUUUUUGUUAGAGAAGAUAAUGACGGUAUCUAACGAAUAAGCACCGGCUAACUACGUGCCAGCAGCCGCGGUAAUACGGAGGGUGCAAGCGUUACUCGGAAUCACUGGGCGUAAAGGGCGCGUAGGCGGGAUAGCAAGUCAGAUGUGAAAUCCUAUGGCUUAACCAUAGAACUGCAGUUGAAACUGUUAUUCUAGAGUAUGGGAGAGGUAGGUGGAAUUCUUGGUGUAGGGGUAAAAUCCGUAGAGAUCAAGAGGAAUACUCAUUGCGAAGGCGACCUGCUAGAACAUAACUGACGCUGAUGCGCGAAAGCGUGGGGAGCAAACAGGAUUAGAUACCCCAGUAGUC